rnacentral:lncRNA from 1 species
GCCCUCCCGCGGGGCCGGCUGUACCCGCUGUAGAAGCGAGCCCUCGUGGCCCCAUAACCUCCUCCUCCUCCUCCCCGACCCCGAUAACGAGUUCGGGGGAAACCCCGAUCCGUCGUGCUGAUCCCGGGACGGUUCGUCCGCUUCGGGAUCACCUGAUUGGACAGGAAACGAUCACGUGACGUCGUGAUAUGGGGCCCAUUGUCGCGAUAUGGGGCGAUAUGGGGCGCUAUGUCGGGAUAUGGGGCCCUACUGUUGUGAUAUGGGGCUCACUGUCGCGAUAUGGGGCGCUAUGUCAUGAUAUGGGUCAGUAUGUCGCGAUAUGGGGCCCUACUGUCAUGAUAUGGGUCAGUAUGUCGCGAUAUGGGGCCCUACUGUCAUGAUAUGGGUCAGUAUGUCGCGAUAUGGGGCAAUAUGUCGCGAUAUGGGUCAGUAUGUCACGAUAUGGGGCCCAUUGUUGCGAUAUGGGGCAAUAUGUCGCGAUAUGGGGCGCUAUGUCGCGAUAUGGGGCAAUAUGUCGCGAUAUGGGGCAAUAUGUCGCUAUAUGGGGUGCUAUGGGGCAAUAUGUCAUGAUAUGGGGCGCUAUGUUGCGAUAUAGGGCCCACUGUCGGGAUAUGGGGCAAUAUGUCGCUAUAUGGGGCGCUAUGGGGCAAUAUGUCGUGAUAUGGGGCAAUAUGUCGUUAUAUGGGGCAAUAUGUCGCUAUAUGGGGCGCUAUGGGGCAAUAUGUUGUGAUAUGGGGCAAUAUGUCACGAUAUGGGGCAAUAUGUCGCGAUAUGGGGCGAUAUGUCGUGAUAUGGGGCAAUAUGUCAAGAUAUGGGUCAGUAUGUCGCAAUAUGGGGCUGUCCCGUCCCCCUAUAACCCCCCCCAUAUAACCCCCCCAUCACGAUAUAACCCCCCCCAUCUCGACAUAACCCCCCUAUCGCAAUAUAAGACCCCCCAUCGCGAUAUAAGACCCCCCUAUCACAAUAUAAGCCCCCCCUAUCACGAUAUAACAACCCCUAUCGCGAUAUAAGACCCCCCAUCACAAUAUAAGCCCCCCAUAUCACGAUAUAACAACCCCUAUCUCGACAUAACACCCCCAUAUCGCAAUAUAAGACCCCCCUAUCGCAAUAUAAGGCCCCUAUAUUGCAAUAUAAGGCCCCCUAUCAUGAUAUAAGCCCCCCCUAUCGCGACAUAAGACCCCCAUAUCGCGAUAUAACAUGCCACUAUCACGAUAUAAGGCCCCCAUAUCACGACGUAAGACCCCCUAUCACAACAUAACACCCCCAUAUCGCAAUAUAAGCCCCCCCCAUUGCGAUAUAACCCCCAUAUCGCAAUAUAAGCCCCCCAUCGCGAUAUAACCCCCCAUAUCACGAUAUAACACCCCCAUAUCGCGACAUAACCCCCCCUAUCGCGAUAUAAGACCCCCAUAUCACGACAUUAGAGCCCCAUAUCGCGAUAUAAGCCCCCCUAUCACGAUAUAGGGCCCCCUAUCGUGACAUAACAUGCCCCUAUCACGAUAUAACACCCCCAUAUCGCGACAUUAGAGCCCCCUAUCGUGAUAUAAGACACCCCUAUCGUGACAUAAGACCCCCUAUCACGACAUAACCCCCACUAUCGCAAUAUAAGGCCCCCAUAUCACGACAUUAGAGCCCCCUAUCACGAUAUAAGACCCCUCUAUUGCAAUAUAACCCCCUCUAUCGCGAUAUAAGACCCCCCUAUCGCAAUAUAAGACCCCCAUAUCACGAUAUAACCCCCCUAUCACAAUAUAAGACCCCUCUAUCACGAUAUAAGCCCCCCCUAUCGCGAUAUAACCCCCCUUAUCACGAUAUAAGCCCCCCUAUUGCGAUAUAAGACCCCUCUAUCACGAUAUAAGCCCCCCCCAUCACUAUAUAAGACCCCCAUAUCACGACAUAAGAGCCCCAUAUCGCGAUAUAACGCCCCCCUAUCGCGAUAUAAGACCCCCCUUAUCACGAUAUAAGGCCCCCAUAUCACGAUAUAACACCCCCAUAUCACGAUAUAACACCCCUAUC